UGAUAGAAUCACCACAAAUUGAGAUGAGGCAUUCAAGCGGGCUGGACACACUGACACUCGAGCAGUAGGAUCCCUUGAACUGAAGAAAUGAAUAGGAAGAUACAUGCAAUUUAAGAAGAACAUUCAUCAUUAGUACUUGAAGAGACUUGCCUGGUUGGGGCAGAACAGGAUCUGCUAUAGUGCAUGUUACUUGACUGCUCACUGUACGACUUCAAUAAAAUCAAGGUCUUUUCCUGAUGCAAGAAAAUGUUUUCUUGCUGCAAUGCAGGCUAAAUCUACCACACGGGUCGUUAGCUCUGUUACCGUAACAUUGCACCAUCCUAACACGCGAGGAAAAUAAUUUCACAAGAUUCUCAUAUUAAGUAUCUAUUCAAAGAGGUAUGUGACAAUGUGCGGGAAGGAGAAAUUCACUCGGUAACAACACCGAUGCUACGGCUUGCAUGCUGAGAGUUGAGACCUGAUAGUGAGCAUGAUUGUGGGGAUGGUGCGUAUGAGGAUUUUUUUCCCUUCUCCCAUUGGAACACACAGGUAUAUUUGGGUUUAUAAUAUGGGUUGUUGCCCCAGUUGCUUUUGCUUGGCGAUAAUGGCAAUGCAGUUAUCACCAUGUUUGCACCGUUCUUCACAUGCACAUCCCUAGGCUCCUUAUGUUACUGUUCACCAUCACUGUUGAUUAUUUCUCCUUCUAUUCUGUUAUCCAAUAGGUAUUCUCUUACUACAUAUAAAUUUGGAGGACAAAGCAUUUAUUCUGUUGAUAUAUUAAACCCCAAAUUGCUGACAUUUAUUCUGUUGAUAUAUUAAACCCCAAAUUGCUGACAUGUAACGUCUUCUAUCUGAAUUUGUUUCAUAAAAUUAAUCAUUGGUUUAGUUUGAUAGAUUAAACCCAAAUUAGUUUAUGGACUGAACUAGAAAUAACACAAUCACAUAUUAGUUUUCUUUUUAAAUUUCAUAGUAGAGA